CAACCACAUUACGAACUCAUUCUUCAUGUUCAUCUCCUCCUCCUAACUACACUAUAGUCAAGGACAACCACGACUAUGCGAGUGGCAGGAGACAUAUUAGUUUACCUUCGUGUACUUUUCAUCUGUCAUAAUGAAACUUUGAAACUUAUAUUCCAUUUAAUUCUAUUUGGCAUCUUAAACAAUACAUGAACAAACUACUCGAGAUCAAAGAGUAGCACAGUAAAAAUACUACUUACAUCUAAGAGAAAGGCUACAUCAAGUAGUAGAAUCUGCAUGGCAUGUGUGCUAACCUGGUCUGGAUGAUGUGAGUUAACAAUAUUGAACCCCUCUUAUGUCUAUGCUGCCUCUCUCAAACAUCUGCAACCAAAAAUAGAUGAGACCCAUAUAUUAAGACUACAAAAACGAAAGAUGAAACAUGUAAGGGCAUUUGGGCAUAGUACAGAAACACGCUGACCAGUCGCUUUGUUUGAGGAUCAAGAACAAAACAUGAGAGCUUCUCUCAUCAAUUACCUCGGCAGAAGCUUCAUACAUCUCUGAUUUGUCAAGCGCCUUCCACAUUCAUGCGGCUGAAAAACUUCCCGCUCCCUCCUGCCCCGUUUUGCGUUGAUGAAGACCCAGGCUGAGCUUUGCUCCGCCGCGCACUCACUUCCGGUCAAGUACGCCAACAUUGGAAGGGGGAGAUGUUGGAGAUUAAGAGAGGAUUGAGGAAAUGGAUCCUCACAUCAGUGAGGCGCGCGGUGCAUGUGCAUCUGUGC
rnacentral:lncRNA from 1 species